UUGACAUGCUCUUAAAAGUUAAAACCCUAAUUCAAGCUCAAUGUCUCUCCUAUAAAUUCAUCUUCCAGCUCUGUUUAAUUCAUAUUCAUCGCUUCUCUCUCUUCUAUUCAUUUUUAUCUCUUCAAUCAUCAAAUAAUUACAAUUCUUUUCCUUUUUUUUCCAGUUUUAAUUAAAAUUAGGUUUUUGUUCAAAAUUUGGUGGAGAAUUACAGUGACGACUCACAAAAUUCAAGCUCAACAGACCGUAUUGCAGGAAUUUCUCACUCUAUUGAGGAUGAUUUUUUUGCGUGUCGACACACCCGCUGAACUGACUAAAUGAUGUUUAGCACAUCCACCCUAUCACAGUGGUCUUCAGUUGUUGAAAUUUUAUGGGAACAAUCAUCGAUUGGCUUCUGAGCAUCUCCCUUCUCCAAUCUUGGCAUGAUCAGUGUGUUUUGGGAUCCCAUUAUAAUGAAGUUUAUUUAUACUUGUAAAAAUAGAGUGACUUGAUUGACUUCAAGUCAAUUGAAUCGUAGACUUGUAAUUUUAGUCACGAACUUGCAAAUGAAAUUGUUCUUUUUUGUUUUGGGAAGA